UGGCCAGACCAAGAUUUGCCAGAUAGUAAAUUACUUUCUUUGUACGCGGACGUGUCGUGUCUGUGGCUUUACGGCCCCGGCGCGAGAGUGUAUAUAAAAAUGCAUAUCCCUUGGAAUGAAAUAGAUUUUACAACUUCAAAAAAAGGAUAAAAAUUGAAUGGUGAUGUGGUGUGUGGACUUGCUCCCGGGGGCAACACGCUAAUCAGGCGUUGCGGAGUGGGCCAAAUCAUUGUGUUUGCUGGAGAUUAGACAGGAAUACCAAAUAUUUACCAAAUGCGAUCAGUCAAGGCGCCAAACCAGGUCGUGCACGAAUUUCACCAAUGUUGGCAUCCAUUUCACAGUAAUUUGAUUUCUAGAAUUAAAGUUUCGAUGCAAUAAAUGUCCAACCAAGUUAGCUGGCAUGGCCAUAUCCGAUCGGCAAUGACUAGUAAAUCAAGUUAAAGUUCAACACAAUCAGAUGUGUACGCUAUUUUAUUGGGUUUAAUGCACAUUAAUGGACGCACAAUGGCUAUGAUAUCAUACCGGGAAUUGUGCGCCAAUUACUUGACUGCACUUGCACAAAGGCAACCAUUUCCAGCGAAAUAUGUUAUAUCCACCCGGGCCCAUUUAUGGCCAGACGAAAGCCCAGAAAUCGACUUGGCCCUUGGGGGAGAUGCGAUGAUGCCAAGAACCAUGAAAUGGGAAUGAAAAGCUUGAAUAUGCAUUAUUCCUUCGGCUGGCCGGCUAUCAACUGGCAAUCAGAAGUUGGCUGAGUGGAAAAAUCAAAUGUGUGAAGUGGCCGAGGGGGGAAUGAAAAGCGGUUGUGGUUACAAGGAAAAGCGUCUGAAAAGUUGGCUAUCCAUGAGCUAAAGUUUAUAAGGAGUUAAGCUGCACAUCUUAUCGUUCGAACUUGUUUCUAUAUUUAUUUUAUUAUCGACUUUUUUAUGUUAAAUAAUAUAUAUAAAUAUAUUGAAAUAUUUUCUCUGUGUAAA